rfam:Paenibacillus alvei DSM 29 PAV_1c, whole genome shotgun sequence.
ACCUUAUCAAGAGUGACUGAGGGACUAGGCCCUAUGACGUCCGGCAACCUUACUAGUGAGUAAACGGUGCUAAAUCCUACGGAAUGAUUCCAUUCUGAGAGAUAAGUG